rnacentral:rRNA from 1 species
AUGCAGUCGAACGAACUUCCGUUAAUUGAUUAUGACGUGCUUGCACUGAAUGAGAUUUUAACACGAAGUGAGUGGCGGACGGGUGAGUAACACGUGGGUAACCUGCCCAGAAGCAGGGGAUAACACCUGGAAACAGAUGCUAAUACCGUAUAACAGAGAAAACCGCCUGGUUUUCUUUUAAAAGAUGGCUCUGCUAUCACUUCUGGAUGGACCCGCGGCGCAUUAGCUAGUUGGUGAGGUAACGGCUCACCAAGGCGAUGAUGCGUAGCCGACCUGAGAGGGUAAUCGGCCACAUUGGGACUGAGACACGGCCCAGACUCCUACGGGAGGCAGCAGUAGGGAAUCUUCCACAAUGGACGCAAGUCUGAUGGAGCAACGCCGCGUGAGUGAAGAAGGGUUUCGGCUCGUAAAGCUCUGUUGUUAAAGAAGAACGUGGGUGAGAGUAACUGUUCACCCAGUGACGGUAUUUAACCAGAAAGCCACGGCUAACUACGUGCCAGCAGCCGCGGUAAUACGUAGGUGGCAAGCGUUAUCCGGAUUUAUUGGGCGUAAAGCGAGCGCAGGCGGUCUUUUAAGUCUAAUGUGAAAGCCUUCGGCUCAACCGAAGAAGUGCAUUGGAAACUGGGAGACUUGAGUGCAGAAGAGGACAGUGGAACUCCAUGUGUAGCGGUGAGAUGCGUAGAUAUAUGGAAGAACACCAGUGGCGAAGGCGGCUGUCUGGUCUGUAACUGACGCUGAGCUCGAAAGCAUGGGUAGCGAACAGAUUAGAUACCCUGG